UCCCUUGUAGCUCAGUUGGUAAAGAAUCUGCCUGCAGUGUAGGAGACCCGGGUUUAAUUCUUGGUUUGGGAA
rnacentral:tRNA from 1 species